rnacentral:lncRNA from 1 species
UACUCAAGAUUGCUUCAGUUUCCUUCAGCAGAGUUUGUACUGUAAGCUAAAAGCUCGCCAUGCUUGUUUAUUAAAGAGCCUGCAGUAAAUGAAGCUUAUCAACUCUGACACUCAGCUGCUUGCCAGUUACACCAAUCUAAAACCUGGCAGGUCUGUGAAGGGGCGGGACACUUAAAAUGUCUGGACAGACUGAAAUGUGCCAGUUUGCAUGUUUUGUUUUGUUUUUUUAAUCAAAGUCCUCUCAGCAGCACUUCUACCGACCUCAACCAAUCAGAUAUUUGGUUUCAUUAGAUUUGCAUUCCUUGAGUUCUUUUUCAGUACGAACAUUCUUCAUCAUUUCUCUGCAGAGUGCAUCAGUUCUGUUGUCUGAGUAAGUGGAGUCAAGGCAGCAGAUUCAGACACACAUACAAUCUACUGUAUAGAUUUAUCACAGUAAAUAUGUCAACAAAGGAUCCAAAGUGAUCUCCUGCUCUUGCAUCCAGGUGGCCAAAAAAAAAGAAAGAAAAUUGUCACAAGCUGUGAAGAAAGUAUUGGUUAGUCCAGAGGACCCCUCAUCAGUAAACUGGUAUUGGCUGGGAUGUUUCAUGUAAAAAACCAUCUGUUCAUCAUUUGCGACCAUUACAGACAUGUAUGUGUCAGGGGUCGUGUGCGGAGGCGAGGAAGAGAUGACCCACACGCAGGACUCUUGGUGCAGAAUGAGGAGGUUUUUUGGAAACGGAGACAACAGAUGACAGGAUGGCUGGCUGAACUUAAUGGACUGGUAAACUAACUGGCUGACUGAACUGAACACGUGACAAGAACAACAUCAACAUCAAUGACACGACAAGGGCUGAAGGGAACAGAGGGCUUAAAUACAUGACUAACAAUGACAAUGAUUGGAGACAGUGUUCUGCUGAGUCCUGGGAUUCCUCCUGAUGGAUCAAUUCAUUACACCUGCACUCCCCAACAGCAGCAGCUUCUCCUGGCAGGAUCAGCACCACAGCAAUUACAAGUACUGCACAGGAACAGCUCAAGACCAGGCCUUCAGUCUGACCACCAGAAUAAACCUGAUCCUUUGGGAGGCCCCCAGACCAGGACGAGCAGCUCCCAAAGGAUCCACUGCCAACGUUCUCAGACCAAAAGAUGGUUUGAAUGUUGGGGACGACUGCUGUAAAGUUGAAGCAUGAAUGAAGAGGACCAAACACGAAAAACCAGUUUGAAAUAAAAACAAUUAAAGCAUUUCGGUCACAGUCCUCCUUCAUACACGCAGACUAGAUAAAAUAAUCAGCUGCAAACCUAAAAAUAGACGUCAGUUAAAUCAACAACCACAUACCUGAUUAACAUACAGUUAUACUAUGCUGCUGUAGCGCUGAAGCUGUACAGUAGGCCGUUAGGGAGAUGUGAUAUGAUCUCCCAGUCUGUCAGCGAGGAAACCACCAGUUAAUAUUUAAUCAGCAAUUUAGUUUGCCUUUCAAAUAUUCAUGAAAUCUAAUCAACUUAAUCACGGUGUGAUCGUUAUUUCACAGCGUAAUGAAACUCCCCGCCAGUUCACUCAACUGUGUCCAGGGUGGCUGACUUCACGCCGUCGCUCUCUAAAACAAUAAAACUGACACACACACACACACACACACACACACACACACACACACACACCUAAAGAUGCAGGCACACAUGCAUCACAUAAAAAACAAUGUAGCUGACUAGGAAAGGAGAAGAGAAACCAAUAAAUAAACAGAUUAGUGUGAAAGGAAGCAAAAAAGGAAAGAAGAAAGGAUAGAAGUAAGAAAGGAGAAAUGCUAUAAGAAGGAAGGAUAUAAAAACAAUGAAAGAAGGAAGAAAAGUCAAGAUGAAGGGAUGGUAGUGUAUAGGGAAGGAUACGGGAAGGCGGUAUGAAAGGAAAGGAAGGUAGAAAAAAGACUGUAGAGAAGAAAGGAAAGAGAAAUACACGAAAAAAGGAAGGAAAGAAGGGACUGAGGAAGGAUGGAAGGUCGCAUGAAAGGAAAAAAACAUAUAGAAGAAACAAAGAAAGGAUACCAAGAAGGAAUUGAUGGCAUAUUGAGGAAAUAUUAAGAGAAGGAAGAAAAAAAUAAUGAAAACAAAGAAAGAAGGGAAUAAGGAAGGAAAAAGUAAAGAAAGGAGGGAUGGGAAAGAAGGAAGAAGAAAAAAGGAAGGAUGAAGGAAGGACAAAGGUGGAAGGAUAGAUAAGAAACAAAGGAACAAAUACAGGACGGAAGGAAGGAAAGAAGGAAGCUGCGUUGUGUUUUUCAGCUUUGCUGUUAUUCUGCCCCCUGGUGGCUAAAAAGCCACAUAAAGCAUCUUUAAAGAUUAUUGGACAGUUUUUGCACAACAAAAGGAAAUGAGAUGAUCAAUAUGAAAGAUAUACUCAACUUCAUACUAAACAGACUCAUAAAUUAUUGACACCAUCAGCCAUAACUCUGACUUUAGGAGCUGUUUGCCAUUUUUAGAAAUACAUUUAUUCCCUUUCUUGCCAGGAGUUAGUCAAUAAGACUCUUGGGGGGCCGAGCUAGCUGUCCUCCCGCAGAGCUUCCAGUCUUUAUGCAAAACUAAAUGUGCAGCUGGGAGUUUUGCAUACUGAUGUGAGUGGGGUAUAUCAGUCUGCUAUUUUAUUAUCCGAGUAUUUUCUUUUUUAUGUUACAGCUUCUUCAGAUGUUUGGUUUGGGCUUUAAGUGGUUUCCAGAAGUUCUCCCCUAAAGGCGAGAUGGCAGAGGCAUCAGAUGGAUUGGAGUACCCUUGGAGCAUUAAUUUUUAGAAAACUUCUCAAGAGUUUAUUUUAUUCAUCUCAAACUGAUUAACUUUCCUGCAGUUUUGAGAUGAAGCUGUACUUUAUGAAACAGAUCGAGGCACCCUGAGAGCACGUACCAGUAGAUUUGGUCCCAUGUUGGUGAGGGAGAGCAGGAAACAACAUUAUGAAGUGUAUACACACAUGCGCCUCAGAGAAGAUCCUGCAGCUUUCUGCUGUGUGCAACAAAAUAUUAUAAUAUGGCAAGAAAUGAUAACAUGUACAGCUUCUCCUCCUGCCGUUUCCCGACAUCCAAUCUGAUAAGAUGAGAUAAAGUGGAUGUGAGACUUUAGCAUCACGCAGACACAACAGAGAGGCUAUUACUGAGUCUGAUGAAAAACAGAUAGAUUGUACUGUAUUUCAGCCUGUGGCUAAGAUCCCACAGGCCGGGCAGAAUGAGGUGCUCUCCAAAAUGAGCUCGACAUCCCCGCAAAUAGGACACAGCAGCUUCCCCGUGUUCUCCUCGGGCCAAGCAUUACACUGUACAUUAGAUCCAUCUCAGCGUUCCUCUGUGGAGAGCUGCGGCAGCAUGUACGGGAUAAACGGAGGUGUAUUGUGUCAUCUGGAAACAUCCCGUGUUAUAGAAUUAGCAUAUUUAUGCUUCACAGUCCUCAGUUUCUUUGUCUGGCUUUAACCUGGAUUUAAUUCUCCACAGUUUAAACGUGCUGUUUAAUUCAGUUUAAAGCUUCUUAACGUGGGAUUCUUCAGUGACUGUGGUCAUUGUUGGAUUCUUGUUGCUUUGCAUUAAUUACUGUUUUAUUGAUGCACAUGCAAACACACACACACACACACAGUGUAGAUGACUAGAAAAGGAGAGGGAAUUGGGUUGAAGAAAGGAAGGAAGGAAUAAUUUAAGGAAGGCAGGAAGGAAGCAAGGACAGAAGGAAGGAAACAUGAUAGAAAGAAGAGAAUAGAAAGGCAAGAAUAGAAGAAAGGACAGAAGUAAGUAUGGUAAGAAAGGAACCAACAAAGGAAGGAAUGGUACAGAGAGAGGAAGAAGGAAGGAAAAUAGAAAAAAAACAUGAAAAGAAUGAAGGAUGGAUAGACAUCAGGAAAAGGAAGAAAGGAAGGAAUAAAGGAACCUGAAGGGUAUAGAGAUGGAUUAAAGGAAAAGAAAAGGAAGAAGCAAGACAAAAAGAAGGGAAGGAAAGAAGAAAUUUUAUAGAGAAGGAAAAGGAGGAAAGUUAAGAAGACUGUAGAGAAUAAAUGAAGGAAAGGGAAGGGAAGAAACAAGACAAAAAGGAGGAAAGGAAGAACAAUAGAAGGUAGAGAAGCAAGAAAACACAGGAAGGCAGAAAGGAAGGAUUGAAUAUGUAUUUGGUUAAAUUUGUAGGAAGCACUCGUGCUGCUCAUCACUGUGUGAAGGAUAGACUGUAUCUAAACGAUGGACUUAGCUUCAGGCAACGUAACAAAUUACUUUCUAUAACUAAAGUUUUUAAGCAUUUUUAAACUCUAAUGAGUAACGUGUAGUUACUGCUGACUUACUCCCUCGGUCUCUCCUUUUUCCUUGUUCUAGAGUCCAUGUUGUUUCCUCCAAUUAGAUGUUGAAUUAUUAUUAUUAUUAUUAUUAUUCUCUCUUUUUUUCUUUUCUUUUAGACAAACCUGCUGCAUCCUGCGCUUGAGGCCUUGUUACAGUUUUCAUCUUGUUUUCCACCCACCUGCCUUUUCCCUGUCUGAAUACCAGGUCUCUUUAGAUGAAGCGUGACAACCACUUUGCGUAACGUCAGCCUCAUGGGAUCAUUAGUGUGACAAUAAACUUUGUUAUUUUGUUUUUUUGAGGGGGGUUUUCUCUUUAUUUUCAGCUCCCGUGUCAGAAUACAGAAUUUAUAGUCUGCAUAAAGACUGGAAGCACUGACAGCUAGGCUGGUCCCCAAAGAGCCUUAUAGAUUAUCUCUUGCUAAGAAAGAGAAAAUAGCAAUGAAAAACACGAUUGAUGACGCUCAAGAAGAUCUCACAACCAUAAAUUUGAAUAAAUCUCACAUAUUGAUCGCCUGAUUAUCUUUUGAUGUGCAAAUCUGGCUGAUUUAACCUCUUUGAAACUGUCAUGGGUGACACAGAGCAUCAUUAGCAUCCUUUAAAGCAGAAACUUUAAAGAAAUGUUAUUACAGCUUUCCAGUGCAUAUGGGAUUCAUGUCACCCAAACACAAAUGAUCCCAGAAUGAAGUUACAACUGCAGCUUCACCCUUUCCAUGUCUGUCAGAUGCUGCGGGCGUCACAGAGUAAAAAGCAUUUAAAAUUCAUGUUCUGGGGCAAAGUCGGUAAAGUUUCCUUUGAAAAAAUUCAGAUUUGACUGUUAACUUUAUAUCAGCAAUGUUUUUAUGUGACCACUUAAAAUAAGUUCAUAUUCAAUAAUACUUCAAAGUAAAUGCCUAAAUAUGUUCCUGGAGGCAUUUCAUGGCAGUUUCUGAUCUGCUGACAGUUUAAAGGUGGACUGUGAUUGACGCUGUGACAUCAUCCAUUUAUUUUGAACUGUGUGUUUUGAAGCCUCGGCUUUGGCGUUUUGGCUGCCAACAUGUUGCUUCAAGCCAGAAGUUAUCAUAUUUGGAUGAGAAG